UUUUUUUCCUCUUUCAUUCUUUCCCUCUUUUUCCUUUUGGUUUUAAUCUUUGAAUUUCAAAUCAUUAUCAUUUUGAGAUUGAUUACCACCAACUCUAAUUUCUUUUGUAGCAGAUCGGUAUGUAUUGAGCCUCGUCGAUUGAAAUAGUGUUUGAAGUUGUACGAAUUCACAAUGCCGCCAUAUAUGCCUGCCUCGAAAGCUUUCGGUGCCUUAGUUUCGCGUAAAAUCGGCGUUAGACAUUUGAUUUCUCAUCCAAAAAAUAAUGGGCAAUUGCGGAAAAUUGAUCAAAUUCGACGGUUUAGUAGCAUAGCUGGGGUCCAGAUCCCGGCCGUCCACAAAUUGAUUGGGAUUACUCAGUGUAAUAUUAAUUCUUUGAUAGUUGAUUUGUCUCAUACUAAUAUUCUUCAAAGGAGGCAGUUUCUUGGAUGUGGAGAUGGGGAAGAGGGUGAUGUCUUGUCCAAAGUUUACGAAGAGCGCGUAGUAUUAGGCUAUUCUCCAGAGCAGUUAUUUAAUGUGGUUGCUGCUGUUGACCUGUAUCAUGGGUUUGUCCCCUGGUGUCAGCGGUCAGAGAUACUGAAAUACUACCCAGAUGGAUCUUUUGAUGCUGAACUUGAGAUUGGUUUCAAAUUUCUUGUUGAAAGUUAUAUUUCCCAUGUGGAAUUAAAAAGACCAAAGUAUAUAAAGACAACUGUGUCGGACAGUGCCCUCUUUGACCAUCUGAUAAAUAUUUGGGAAUUCAAUCCUGGUCCAGUACCAGGAACUUGCAGCCUUUAUUUUUUGGUGGAUUUUAAGUUCCAGUCACCACUUUAUAGACAGGCAGCAUCCAUGUUCUUCAAGGAGGUAGUCUCUCGAUUAGUAAGCUCUUUCAGUGAACGCUGUCGAUUGGUCUAUGGACCAGGAGUCCCAGUCCUCGAAAACUCUUAUGAACAAAGGGCAUGAAAGUUUGCUUUCCAAUUUAAUCUGGUGUGGCACUGAAUGAACUCCUUUGAAAGGCGUUCUAAAUAUGGGGAGCUCAAGUAGAAAUGGUCUUACCUUGCCCACUGGGUGGUUUUUUUAUUUUAUACUGCUCAGGCACUGGUCUUUUCAGAGUCAUAAAAAAGUUCAAAGAUCCAUAUUGGAAAAACAGGUCCUAACAUCCCUUCUUCUGCACAAAGCAACGCGGCAACAGAGCCCAGAUUACUUUCUGCAAUUCUGGGGAAGAAUUUGGAGUUGACUGGCAGCAGGAUCAGACAUUUAAAGAACUCUGGCAGCAGGGAAAGCAGAACCGGACAUAGUGAGGAUUAUACUUCAAAAAAACCUGCAGAAUCUGCUGCAUAACUUCCAGCAGUUCUGAAUUUGUGAGCAGAUAAAAUGCCAGAGGUGAAGAGCAACUUCCAGAAUCCAGAUAUAGAGGAGGCAGAGAUGCAAAGAUCCGGAGCAUGUUGAACAGGCAGGACAGAGCAAAUUCCAGCAUCCAGGUGGGAAGGCAGGGGGCAGAGUCCAAGAGCAGGUUGCAUAAAGUGCUUUUAAUCACAGUAGUAAGUUCAUAUUGUUUUGGCAUAGAUUAAGUUGAGUUCUUUUAAUCACAAAAGAACAAAUAAAAAUUAAGGCAAUAACAACAGCAAACUAUUGAAACAA